rnacentral:tRNA from 1 species
ACUUAUAUAGUUUAAAUAAAACGCUACAUUUUCAUUGUAAAGAUAAAAGACAAUCGUUUUAUAAGUA